GGCCUCCUGGGCUUCGGGGGCGGCCCCGCGGCAUCCGGGUCCGGCCGGCCCGGCUCGGCACCCACACCCCUCCACUCACUCACACUCACACUCACACGCGGCGGCGGGGCCGCGCACGCGCGGGCACCGGGCGGGCGCGCCCAGCCGGCGGCAGAGGCGGCGGAGCGGCCCGGCGGCGGGCGGCGGCCGAGCGCCGCCGGGCUCACGGGGAAAGCGCCCGAACGCGCGCACCGGAGCUCUCGAACCGCCCCGCCUCGGCGGGUCCAUGGCCCGCGGCCCGCGUGGGGGCGUAGGCGCGGGCGCAGUGGGCGGGGGCGGUCGCGGCGCAUGCGCGGGCGCCGCCGCGGGGCCUUCGCGGACGGAGGGGAGCGAGGGGGUCACCGGGCCGGGCCGCGAGCCCUGGAGCUCGGCCAGGCGUGGACCCCGGGCCAGCCCCGCGCCUCUGUGGCCCGGGCGCCUCGUGCGUGUCCGCGAGCUCGCGUGCGCGCGUCACCUCGGACCCCAGCAUGGCUUGGAGGGCGGCCCUACCCGCGCCGCCCUAGUGCUGCGAAGGGCCUGGGAGCCCAAACCCGGAACCACCACCUGGGACUGGGAAGACGACAUGGUCAGAAGUCGAUCACCGAUAGCACGGAACUGCCCCUCUCCGGGGAGGUAGGGUACACAGAGGGCAGCCACCUCGAAAGAGAAGACAGCCCUCUCCAAGCCGCUUCAAUCCUCAACACAGCCAGCCUAUUGCCGGCCAGUCUUCAUCUGGAGCCCAAGAUAUCCGGCACGAGGUCAGUUGGGAUGUUUAUUGGCUGCUGCAAGUGGCACUCCGCUCUGAGAGAUGUUCGCAAUCCAGAUGGGAUUGGGGAAUGGAAAAAACACCCAGCCAGCAAAAGUGUGCACGUGGAGGGAGGCCCCUAUUCCCUGGCGCAUGUGUGAGUCUCCAGAGAGCACCUCUGGGUGACCUGAAGGCCUCACCUCGCCAUUGUGCGCUGCAUCCCCUCGGUCGGUCUCUGUUGGAUUCUCAACCUGGAGAGAAGCAAACCAGCCAGCCGGCUCCCGCCUCAACCCGGUUCAGGACUGUGCUGUGGGAACACCACCCUCGCAACGCGGCGUCUCCCUGUUCACACCUUCUCGCAGGCUGGGACUUCACCCCGCCAGCCUCCUCUGUGCCUUCUCUACCGUGAUGGGAAAUGGAAGAACCUGGGCGUCAUGAGGGCCGGGGCUGCCCAAGCCAUCUCCCUCUUUGCUCCCGCAUGGGCCGCACAGCAGGAGCUUGUUAAAACCGCAGCUUCUCGGCCCGCCCCAGUUGCGCUGAGAUGAGAUCUGCAUUUCCACAAGGUGUGCAGGUCAUUGGUGGGCAGGUGGAAGUCAGAAGCACUGGGCUGGGCGACCCUCUCUGGCUUGGAGCUGUCUGGGGCGCUAAGCAGCAUGAACGGUGUAGGAGGCUGCAGCGGGCCUAAGUGUGAUGAUGAAAAAAAGGCAGAUUGAGGAAAAUUACUAUUGGAGAAGAAGAGAGGAAGGAAGGAAGGGAG
rnacentral:lncRNA from 1 species